GCACGGUUUCAGUCGUCGGGUGCCGUUUUUCCGUGCGGUAGGGUUUCGUUCGCGCGCGCAAUACGUGCACCGUUCCGUGCGUUUCAUUCGUGCAACUCACAGCAGGAGGGUCUGCCGUGACCUGAAAAAGUGAAAACCUUGGAAAAACCUCCAGACCAGAAUACGUGCGCCGAUCGAGUUUUGGCUUUGGGCAGAGCGGCAACGAACGUGUGCGAACACCCCCCACUCGAAAGUGCGCGCCCGUUGCGGUAGAAGGAAGAAGCAGGCACGAUAAAGCAGAAGAGAAUAUGUGAAGCAAGAUUUGUGUCAAACCCCGUGUGCGCGCUGCUAAGCGGCUCAGAUCGCGCGCGCGCGCGCGCCAGCGACCGCGACCGCGAUCAUCGCGCUGACCGGAGCCCGUGGUAUGUGAGGAAGUUGCGCUUUCGUUCGGUCCACGUUAUCAAAACAUUUUGAUAAACUUAAGAAACGGAUGAUGAUAGCAUUAUGCGUAGGCUAGGUUGACAAAGUGAAGAGUUUAGUGAAUGUGUCGUUUAAAUCGAUAAACAGCAGUGUGCGAGUGUGUAUCGAAGCCGCGGCUUGUGUGGCAACAAACUGUGUUUAAGGCGGUAUAGUCGUUUUGCAAAAUCCUCGUUCAUCGACAUCAAACGUCACUGAUAGCGCAGGAAGCGCGCGAUACCAGCAUUGAAGGUGAACAUUGACUACCAUAUAAAAAUCAAAAGUACGUAUCAAUCCCGCCGUUAUCGUUCAAUCGAACCAGGAUUCUCGUGGCUGCUCAGCUGUGAUGUGGUAUGACAGACAG